CAAAACUUUCAACAACGGAUCUCUUGGUUCUGGCAUCGAUGAAGAACGCAGCGAAAUGCGAUAAGUAAUGUGAAUUGCAGAAUUCAGUGAAUCAUCGAAUCUUUGAACGCACAUUGCGCCCGCUGGUAUUCCAGCGGGCAUGCCUGUUCGAGCGUCAUUUC
rnacentral:rRNA from 21 species